AGAUACUCAGCGUGCCCUUGAUGGGUUGUGUCCGAUAGGUACUAGACAGUUCAAGUCGGCCAACCAGUCAGGAAGCAUGAUGCAGUAGUUGAAACAGAAACUUAAGCAUUGUUUUCUAAAAAUGCGAACAAUACGGUCCUGUUGGUUAUUAACAAAUAUAUUUGGUUUGGAGUUGCUUCUGAAGAGGUAUUAGCAGGUUCAGUUGAUCAUUGUAGAGGGGCUUCGAGUCCGUACCAUUCCUCCUUCCGUGGCGUUGCACAACCCACUUCUGUAUAAAGGAAAAUUGGUUAUCAUGC
rnacentral:lncRNA from 1 species